GGGGAAUAUUGCACAAUGGGCGAAAGCCUGAUGCAGCGACGCCGCGUGCGGGAUGAAGGCCUUCGGGUUGUAAACCGCUUUUGAUUGGGAGCAAGCGAGAGUGAGUGUACCUUUCGAAUAAGCACCGGCUAACUACGUGCCAGCAGCCGCGGUAAUACGUAGGGUGCAAGCGUUAUCCGGAAUUAUUGGGCGUAAAGAGCUCGUAGGCGGUUUGUCGCGUCUGGUGUGAAAGUCCAUCGCUUAACGGUGGAUCUGCGCCGGGUACGGGCAGGCUAGAGUGCGACAGGGGAGACUGGAAUUCCCGGUGUAACGGUGGAAUGUGUAGAUAUCGGGAAGAACACCAAUGGCGAAGGCAGGUCUCUGGGUCGUCACUGACGCUGAGGAGCGAAAGCGUGGGGAGCGAACAGGAUUAGAUACCCUGGUAGUCCACGCCGUAAACGGUGGAUGCUGGAUGUGGGGCCCAUUCCACGGGUUCCGUGUCGGAGCUAACGCG
rnacentral:rRNA from 1 species